rnacentral:tRNA from 3 species
GGGGGGCUGGCGCAACGGCAGCGCGUUGGAUUCCAGACCCAAAGGUUAUCCGUUCAAAUCGGGUGUCCCUCA